rnacentral:misc_RNA from 1 species
GAUUUGUUUCCAAAACUCUGCACCACGAAUAAAGAAAAUGGCAAUCACAUCGAUAAAUUAUAACAACUACAUGGUAAAGUGACUUCCUCAGGAGUCGGGAACUUAAGAGUAAUACAUGUAAAAAUAACAAGGAAACCACACCCUAAUAUAUAGAUGGUUACAUUGCGUAGCUUAGGCAUAUUUAGGUAGAUUAAAAUCUUUGAGGCAAGUUAAAUGUGAUUUCCAUUUAUUUUUCCAAAAUUAAGAGAGAAAAAAAGGUAUAUCCAUGAAGAAAAAGUACAUUUAUGACCUAUCUUAUUUAAAAGUGAAAUACACAUCAAAAACAUUUUGAAAAACAAAAUACAUCCCUUUAGGGGGGAAAAAGAAGAAGAAGCAAAGAAGAGAAAAAUAUCAAAAUAAGAACUGGUUCUUUCCAAUUUACCUAUGUAA